CCAAUAGCGUAUAUUAAAGUUGUUGCAGUUAAAAAGCUCGUAGUUGAAUUUCGGGGUUAGUAGGUUGGUCAUGCCUCUGGUAUGUACUGGUCUCACUGAUUCCUCCUUCCUGAUGAGCCGUAAUGCCAUUAAUUUGGUGUUGCGGGGAAUUUGGACUGUUACUUUGAAAAAAUUAGAGUGUUUAAAGCAGGCAUUUUUGCUUGAAUACAUUAGCAUGGAAUAAUAAAAUAGGACGGCAUGGUUCUAUUUUGUUGGUUUCUAGGACCACCGUAAUGAUUAAUAGGGAUAGUUGGGGGCAUUAGUAUUCAAUUGUCAGAGGUGAAAUUCUUGGAUUUAUUGAAGACUAACUACUGCGAAAGCAUUUGCCAAGGAUGUUUUCAUUAAUCAAGAACGAAAGUUAGGGGAUCGAAGACGAUCAGAUACCGUCGUAGUCUUAACCAUAAACUAUGCCGACUAGGGAUCGGAUGAUGUUAAUUUUUUAAUGACUCAUUCGGCGCCUUACG
rnacentral:rRNA from 1 species